rnacentral:rRNA from 1 species
CGACCGGCGCACGGGUGCGUAACGCGUAUGCAACCUACCUGUAACAGGGGGAUAACACUGAGAAAUCGGUACUAAUACCGCAUAACACUAUGAGAGGCAUCUCUUGUGGUUGAAAGUUUCGGCGGUUACAGAUGGGCAUGCGGCGCAUUAGCUAGUUGGUGAGGUAACGGCUCACCAAGGCGACGAUACAUAGGGGGACUGAGAGGUUAACCCCCCACAUUGGUACUGAGACACGGACCAAACUCCUACGGAAGGCAGCAG